rnacentral:lncRNA from 1 species
GAUUCUUCUUCAGCUUGUUUUCUUUUCCUUUUCUUCUUCUCUCCAGCAUCAGCAUUUUCAACCGCAUCAACAUCCUCAGCUGAAUGCUUCUUCUUCUUCUUCUUUUCCUUCUUCACGGGUUCCUCUUCUGCUUCCACAUUUCCAUUUAUGUCAUUUGACGCAGGCAUGUCUUCAUCAUCAGCCUUCUUCUUCUUUUUCUUCUCUUUCUUAUCUUCUCCAGCAGGUGUCGUUUGGCCAAGAACAGAAUCUGCUGCGGGAUUAUAUGCCU